rnacentral:rRNA from 1 species
UACGGAGGAUUCGAGCGUUAUCCGGAUUUAUUGGGUUUAAAGGGUGCGUAGGCGGGCUAAUAAGUCAGCGGUGAAAUCACUCAGCUUAACUGAGUAACUGCCGUUGAUACUGUUAGUCUAGAAUAUAAAUGGUGCAGGCGGAAUGAAUCAUGUAGAGGUGACAUUCAUAGAUAUGAUUCAGAACACCGAUCGCGAAGGCAGCUUGCAAAGAUAUUAUUGACGCUGAGGCACGAAAGCGUGGGUAGCGAACAGG